AACUAACUGGUAUCUGUCUUCAUGAAUUCUCAUGUGUCUGGUCAGACUGCCCUUUUGACCAAAUCUUUUGCUACACUCAGAACAGACAAAUGGUUCUCUCCUGUAUGAAUUCUCAUGUGUAUGUUCAGAGCAAACCCUUUUGUCCAAAUCUCUUACCACAAUCAGAACACGAAAUGGUUUUUGUCCUGUAUGAG